GACGAACCGAGCGAACGUUGUUCGGAAUCACUGGGCUUAAAGGGCGCGUAGGCGGGUGCUCAAGUCCGGGGUGAAAUCCUCCAGCUCAACUGGAGAACUGCCUCGGAUACUGGGUGCCUCGAGGGUGGUAGGGGUAUGCGGAACUAUCGGUGGAGCGGUGAAAUGCGUUGAUAUCGAUAGGAAGCUCCGGUGGCGAAGGCGGCAUACUGGACCACAUCUGACGCUGAGGCGCGAAAGCCAGGGGAGCAAACGGG
rnacentral:rRNA from 1 species